rnacentral:rRNA from 1 species
UUCGUUUCGCAGCGUAUUGCUUUGGCAGUACGCUGGCUUCUUAGAGGGACUAUCGGCUCAAGCCGAUGGAAGUUUGAGGAAUAACAAGUCUGUGAUGCCCUUAGAUGUUCUGGGCCGCACGCCCGCUACACUGACGGAGCCAGCGAGUACUUCCUUGUCCGAAAGGUCCGGGUAAUCUUGUUAAACUCCGUCGUGCUGGGGAUAGAGCAUUGCAAUUAUUGCUCUUCAACGAGGAAUCCCUAGUAAGCGCAAGUCAUCAGCUUGCGUUGAUUACGUCCCUGCCCUUUGUACACACCGCCCGUCGCUACUACCGAUUGAAUGGCU